rnacentral:lncRNA from 1 species
UUUUCGUCCCUAUAUCUUUUUUUGUUCUAAAACAACCCCCGUAAGUUAAUAACUUUUUGCUUUUCGUCCCUCCCGUCAAACUCUGUUACAAAAACGCCUUGCUGGCUAACGGUGAGUGAUGUGGCAGGUGCUAACUUGGCCAAACACGCUUAUGUGGACUGACGGAUGAUCCCUGACUAUAUUACAGGGACCAAAACCAAAAACGAAAAGGUACAGAGGGACGAAAUUAAAAUCACCUAAAUAUGAAAUUUAGGUGGCCUUCCAGAAGAUCCCUGACUAUAUUACAGGGACCAAAACCAAAAACGAAAAGUUACAGAAGGACGAAAUUAAAAAUCAUGAAGUUACAAAAUUUGAAAUUAAAAUCCCUUGUGGGUAUAUGAAUUGGUACAUCCAUCUUUGUUUCAUAUUAUCGUAACAAAAUCAAUACAAGUUGGAAUGGAAUCCAUACAACAUAGAGAAUAUGAAGAAGAUGAUAGAGAUUUUUAACUUCGUGAUUUUUAAUUUCGUUCCAUAGGAUGAAGAAGCUGUGAAAUUCAAUUGAAGAAAAAAAAAUAUAAUGGAUGAUGAAGACAUUGUUGCCAGACAUGUGAUUUCAGAAGCACAAAAGAA